UCGGCCUCCGAGAAGAGCAGGGCUGCAGCUCCUCACUGCGUCAGGCGGAGAGCCCUGCCCGUGCAGGCGGCGCCGGGCAGCUCUGCCAGGCCCGGGGGUCUCCCAGCGGCUCGGCGCGGCUCGGUUCGGCUCGGCUCGGGACCCAGGCGAGGAGCGCGACGCGGAGCGGUUCGGUUCGGCCUAGCACGAUCCGGUCCGGGUUGGUUCGCGCUGUGCUUCAUGACAUCCCAGAGUGUCUCCAAAACCCAGCAAGUCUUUUGUGCAGCCCUGCAAAGAUGUGGCAGUGGAGAAGGAGAAGUGUACAACCAGGAAACUGAAUAGCAUCACUGGCAAAGACCGUCCUCUCCCCAGAUAGCUGAGAGUGUCAAAUAUCUGAGAAGCCCAAUGGCUUUGGCACGGUGGCAUGGAACCAACCCGAGCGUUCGGUCUCAGCCCACGGAGCCCAUUGAGGCAGGGCUGAUGGAGACCCAGACCUCCUGCACCUCCUAGAGGUUUAUGUGGCAGUAAUCAAACGACUGGGUCACGUGGAGCCGGGUCGCAGAUUUAUCACCGCGUACUUGAAGAUCACAGGCUAUGGAAAUUAUUGCUGUGCUGGCUGGAAUACAUUAUGCAAAGCAAUGCGUUAUCUGGAAGCCUGCACUGCGCGCGCACACUUCGGUGAUCUAUCUAUCGCUUCCCAUGCAGAUGUUCUGCUGCAAAGAUGUUCUAAUUAAUAUAUUGAAAAUACGUUUCCUGCCUUGUCUGCUCCGGAGAUGAGCAGAGAAAACAGCAUUGAGUGGGGGGAAAAGCCCCCGCCAUGAAAGGAGUGAUAAAGAGAAAGGCAGGGACUUCAAGGCAGUUGAAACAAGUGGAGUGUGAAC